rnacentral:rRNA from 1 species
UACGAAGGGGGCUAGCGUUGCUCGGAAUCACUGGGCGUAAAGCGCACGUAGGCGGACUCUUAAGUCGGGUGGUGAAAUCCUGGAGCUCAACUCCAGAACUGCCUUCGAUACUGGGAGUCUUGAGUCCGGGAGAGGUGAGUGGAACUGCGAGUGUAGAGGUGAAAUUCGUAGAUAUUCGCAAGAACACCAGUGGCGAAGGCGGCUCACCUGGCCCAUAACUGACGCUGAGGCACGGAAAGCGUGGGGAGCAAACAGG